AUGGCGGAAUCCGAAAAGCCUUUAUAAAAACAGAGUAGGAA
rfam:Kordia algicida OT-1 1103813601120 genomic scaffold, whole genome shotgun sequence.